UCUAGCCAUUGCGUGUGAUUGAACCAUUAGUAGUGAAUAAGGUAAUUGUUUAAAUAUAGUUGAAACGCCUUUUUGUGUUUAUCACAUUGCUGAGGACAAUAUUGUCCUCCAUUUUUUUUAUUUUUAAAAUUUAAGAGUAUCAAAAAAUUUAAACAAACUUAGAUGAAAUGACUUUUCAAUCAACUAAAGGUUCGAGCCGGUAAUUACUAGCUCCUUUAGUUUAGCGAUACAAUAAUCGUUUAUUAUUCAACGAUAGUCUUAAUAGUGUACGUAUGAUUAUUGUUGCCUGAGAAUAUUAAAAAAUAUUCUAUAAGCUUACGGGGUAAUGUGAAAUUUUUUUAUAUAUACAUAAAAGGCUAAUAAUACUACUGCUUUAGGAAGAGAACAACGGCUAGGUGGCAGUUUAUGCGGGGCACAGAUCCCAUAAAGAGUAACUGGGUAUAUCCUAAAUACGAAAAAUUAGGGAAAAAUAUAUUUAUUUUUCUUUUAGUUUUUAUUUAAUAUAUAAAUUUUAUAUAAAUUUAAGAUAUAAUUUCUUAAGACGAAUUUGUGUAUAAGCGGAUAAAUUUUAUUCCCAUAUAUAUUUAAUCACUAUCUUUUUAUUUAAAGUAAAAUAUAAAUUUUUAAUGCAAGUAAGAUCUUAACUAUAUUGACAAUAGUUGUAAUAAAUAUAAUUAACAUUUUUUAGGAGAUGUAAUAUAUAUUUUUUUUAAAGUUGCUUAAAUCCAAUCCUUAAAUAUUGCGAAUAGUGAUUUUGAUAAUUACUUGUCAAGUUUAAUGGCAUAAUCUUGCUUAACUGUUUGACCUACACGUCUAUCAGUCGCGUAAGCGGGGCAUACGAUCACGAGAUACAUAAAGGACUGGUCUCGUAUUA
rnacentral:rRNA from 1 species